AAAGGGGAGCAAUCCCUGAGUAAAGUGGCGACCGGGUGAGUAACACGUGACUAACCUACCCUCGAGUGUGGAAUAACAUCGGGAAACCGAUGCUAAUACCGCAUAAUAUCGGCGCUUCUCAAGAAGUGACGAUCAAAGGAGCAAUCCGCUUGAGGAGGGGGUCGCGGCUGAUUAGCUAGUUGGCGGGGUAACGGCCUACCAAGGCGACGACGGGUAGCCGGCCUGAGAGGGCGACCGGCCACACUGGGACUGAGACACGGCCCAGACUCCUACGGGAGGCAGCAGUGGGGAAUAUUGCGCAAUGGGCGAAAGCCUGACGCAGCGACGCCGCGUGGGGGAUGAAGGCCUUCGGG
rnacentral:rRNA from 1 species